ACGGAAGGCAGCAGUGGGGAAUAUUGGGCAAUGGGCGAAAGCCUGACCCAGCGACGCCGCGUGAAGGAUGAAGGCCUUCGGGUUGUAAACUUCUGUAGACAGGGACGAAAUAAAUGACGGUACCUGUAAAGUAAGCCACGGCUAACUACGUGCCAGCAGCCGCGGUAAUACGUAGGUGGCGAGCGUUAUCCGGAUUUACUGGGUGUAAAGGGUGUGUAGGCGGAAGGUCAAGUCUGAUGUGAAAAUUAUGGGCUCAACCCAUAACUUGCAUUGGAAACUGAUCUCCUUGAGUGUGGGAGAGGUAAAUGGAAUUCCCAGUGUAGCGGUGAAAUGCGUAGAUAUUAGGAGGAGCACCAGUGGCGAAGGCGGCUUACUGGACUGUAACUGACGUUGAGGCUCGAAAGCGUGGGGAGCAAACAGGAUUAGAUACCCUGGUA
rnacentral:rRNA from 1 species